GUGCUUGCUUCGGCAGCACAUAUACUAACAUUGAAAUAACGUAGACAAGAUUAGCAUGGCCUUUGUGCAAGGAUGACAAAAGAAUUCAUGAAGCAUUCCAUUUGUAA
ensembl:snRNA U6 U6 spliceosomal RNA